rnacentral:rRNA from 1 species
GACGAACGCUGGCGGCGUGCUUAACACAUGCAAGUCGAACGGUAAGGCCCUUCGGGGUACACGAGUGGCGAACGGGUGAGUAACACGUGGGUGAUCUGCCCUGCACUUCGGGAUAAGCCUGGGAAACUGGGUCUAAUACCGGAUAGGACUCCUGGCUUCAUGGUUGGGGGUGGAAAGCUUUUGCGGUGUGGGAUGGGCCCGCGGCCUAUCAGCUUGUUGGUGGGGUAAUGGCCUACCAAGGCGACGACGGGUAGCCGGCCUGAGAGGGUGACCGGUCACACUGGGACUGAGAUACGGCCCAGACUCCGAGGGGAGGCAGCAGGGGGGAAUAUUGCACAAUGGGCGCAAGCCUGAUGCAGCGACGCCGCGUGAGGGAUGACGGCCUUCGGGUUGUAAACCUCUUUCAGCUAUGACGAAGCGCAAGUGACGGUAGUAGCAGAAGAAGGACCGGCCAACUACGUGCCAGCAGCCGCCGUAA